AAGCCGACAUCACCGGAAGGACGUGCUCAAUUUGUGGACUUUAUUUUGCCUCAAAAAUUUCUAUGAACAACCAUCGAAAAAACGUGCAUGGUGGUGCGGUGGAUGACGUGUCUCGCGUGCGACCUCUGCGGGUUCUCUCUAGGAGACCACAGGAGGCCUUGUGUGUCAUAAAGGAAAGCGUGGAGUGGAUAGAUGUCGAGGCUGUCAAUGAAGAGAUAAUAAUCACGUCUGAGGAAACUCCCGAUGUUACCGCCCCCGUGAUCUACGAUGUAUCCGAGUGGAUUGAUGCUGGGAAGGUGUUUGUUGAAGAUGAUUGAGAUGGAAAAUAAAGGUAUGAAAGCACUCCUGCCGUCACGCAGCAAGCGCCGUGUUAAUAGAGACAAUUAUAAGCCAAA